UCUCAAGGCCAUCAGACUGUUAAACAGCCACCACUAACAUUUAGCGGCCGCUGCCAACAUACUGACUCAACUCCAGCCACUUUAAAAAUGGAAUUGAUGGAAAUUGAUCAAAAAUGUAUCACUAGCCACUUUAAACAAUGCCACUUAAUAUAAUGUAUAUGUAUAUACUGUACUCUAUAUCAUCUACUGCAUCUUGCCAUCGGUGUCAGUAUAAAGGUACCACAGUAUUACUCCUUAAAGGUGUCAGUAUAAAGGUACCACAGUAUUACUCCUUAAAGGUGUCAGUAUAAAGGUACCACAUUAUUACUCCUUAAAGGUGUCAGUAUAAAUGUACCACAGUAUUACUCCUUAAAGGUGUCAGUAUAAAGGUACCACAGUAUUACUCCUUAAAGGUGUCAGUAUAAAGGUACCACAGUAUUACUCCUUAAAGGUACCACAGUAUUACUCCUUAAAGGUGUCAGUAUAAAGGUACCACAGUAUUACUCCUUAAAGGUGUCAGUAUAAAGGUACCACAUUAUUACUCCUUAAAGGUGUCAGUAUAAAAGGUGUCAGUAUAAAGGUACCACAGUAUUACUCCUUAAAGGUGUCAGUAUAAAGGUACCACAGUAUUACUCCUUAAAGGUGUCAGUAUAAAGGUACCACAUUAUUACUCCUUAAAGGUGUCAGUAUAAAUGUACCACAGUAUUACUCCUGAAAGGUGUCAGUAUAAAGGUACCACAGUAUUACUCCUUAAAGGUGUCAGUAUAAAGGUACCACAUUAUUACUCCUUAAAGGUGUCAGUAUAAAGGUAUCACAGUAUUACUCCUUAAAGGUGUCAGUAUAAAGGUAUCACAGUAUUACUCCUGAAAGGUGUCAGUAUAAAGGUAUCACAGUAUUACUCCUUAAAGGUGUCAGUAUAAAGGUAUCACAGUAUUACUCCUGAAAGGUGUCAGUAUAAAGGUAUCACAGUAUUACUCCUUAAAGGUGUCAGUAUAAAAGGUGUCAGUAUAAAGGUACCACAGUAUUACUCCUUAAAGGUGUCAGUAUAAAUGUACCACAGUAUUACUCCGUAAAGGUGUCAGUAUAAAGGUAUCACAGUAUUACUCCUUAAAGGUGUCCGUAUAAAGGUAUCACAGUAUUACUCCUUAAAGGUGUCAGUAUAAAGGUAUCACAGUAUUACUCCUUAAAUGUGUCAGUAUAAAGGUACCACAGUAUUACUCCUUAAAGGUGUCAGUAUAAAUGUACCACAGUAUUACUCCGUAAAGGUGUCAGUAUAAAGGUAUCACAGUAUUACUCCUUAAAGGUGUCAGUAUAAAGGUACCACAGUAUUACUCCUUAAAGGUGUCAGUAUAAAAGGUGUCAGUAUAAAGGUACCACAGUAUUACUCCUUAAAGGUGUCAGUAUAAAUGUACCACAGUAUUACUCCGUAAAGGUGUCAGUAUAAAGGUACCACAGUAUUACUCCUUAAAGGUGUCAGUAUAAAGGUAUCACAGUAUUACUCCUGAAAGGUGUCAGUAUAAAGGUAUCACAGUAUUACUCCUUAAAGGUGUCAGUAUAAAGGUAUCACAGUAUUACUCCUGAAAGGUGUCAGUAUAAAGGUAUCACAGUAUUACUCCUUAAAGGUGUCAGUAUAAAAGGUGUCAGUAUAAAGGUACCACAGUAUUACUCCUUAAAGGUGUCAGUAUAAAUGUACCACAGUAUUACUCCGUAAAGGUGUCAGUAUAAAGGUAUCACAGUAUUACUCCUUAAAGGUGUCGUUAUAAAGGUACCACAGUAUUACUCCGUAAAGGUGUCAGUAUAAAGGUACCACAGUAUUACUCCGUAAAGGUGUCAGUAUAAAGGUACCACCGUAUUACUCCUUAAAGGUGUCAGUAUAAAGGUACCACAGUAUUACUCCUUAAAGGUGUCAGUAUAAAGGUACCACAGUAUUACUCCUUAAAGGUGUCAGUAUAAAGGUACCACAGUAUUACUCCUUAAAGGUGUCAGUAUAAAGGUACCACAGUAUUACUCCGUAAAGGUGUCAGUAUAAAGGUACCACAGUAUUACUCCGUAAAGGUGUCAGUAUAAAGGUACCACAGUAUUACUCCUUAACGGUGUCAGUAUAAAGGUACCACAGUAUUACUCCUUAAAGGUGUCAGUAUAAAGGUACCACAGUAUUACUCCUGAAAGGUGUCAGUAUAAAGGUACCACAGUAUUACUCCUUAAAGGUGUCAGUAUAAAGGUAUCACAGUAUUACUCCUUAAAGGUGUCAGUAUAAAGGUACCACAGUAUUACUCCUUAAAGGUGUCAGUAUAAAGGUAUCACAGUAUUACUCCUUAAAGGUGUCAGUAUAAAGGUAUCACAGUAUUACUCCGUAAAGGUGUCAGUAUAAAGGUACCACAGUAUUACUCCUUAAAGGUGUCAGUAUAAAAGGUGUCAGUAUAAAGGUACCACAGUAUUACUCCGUAGUAAAUAGUUAUUGACAAGACAUUUCAGCUUUUCAUUUUGUAUUAAUUUGUAAAAACUUCAAAAAGCAUAAUUCCACUUUGACAUUAUGGGGUAUUGUUUAGGCCAGUGAGAAACAUCAUAAUCUAUUUUAAAUUCAGGCUGAAACACAAAAUGAAUACUUUCUGAAGGCACAUGUCUGUCCUGUCUAGUAUAACUAUAUCUAGAUGUCUGUCAGUCCUGUCUAGUAUAACUAUAUCUAGAUGUCUGUCAUUCCUGUCUAGUAUAACUAUAUCUAGAUGUGUCAUUCCUGUCUAGUAUAAUUAUAUCUAGAUGGCUCAGUCAGUCCUGUCUAGUAUAACUAUAUCUAGAUGUCUGUCAGUCCUGUCUAGUAUAACUAUGUCUAGAUGUCUGUCAUUCCUGUCUAGUAUAACUAUAUCUAGAUGUGUCAUUCCUGUCUAGUAUAAUUAUAUCUAGAUGGCUCAGUCAGUCCUGUCUAGUAUAACUAUAUCUAGAUGUCUGUCAGUCCUGUCUAGUAUAACUAUAUCUAGAUGUCUGUCAGUCCUGUCUAGUAUAACUAUAUCUAGAUGUCUGUCAUUCCUGUCUAGUAUAAUUAUAUCUAGAUGGCUGUCAGUCCUGUCUAGCAUAUCUAGAUGUGUCAGUCCUGUCUAGUAUAACUAUAUCUAGAUGUGUCAUUCCUGUCUAGUAUAACUGUAUCUAUGAUCUUCACUCAGGAACUAAGAGAUUUCUAUAAGAGAAACUGUUGAUUAAAAGAGAUCUAUAAAACACG